CUCGGCUACAUCAGAGAUGCCUGAACAAAAUUACAUGAAUCAAGCAAUCAAAUAAAGUUCUUUACGGUAAACGGAAACAAAGCCACAGUGAGAGAGAGGAAAAGAUGGAAGAAGAAAUGUGAAAAUAUAAAGGAUAUGACUGCAAAGCAAUCAUAUAAUCUUCUUAUUUAUGUAAUGUUAGUACAGAUCUUUUAUCAACAACAAAAUUUAGUUGUCAGUCAUCAAGCCUGAUACAAUUUGUACAAACUAUGAUCAAGCUUUCAACCGAAGUGGUUUUUAUAAAAGAAAAAUAAUUAGUUUACACUUUACAGUAUAAAGUUAACAGCUUGGGUUGGGUUUGAAAAAUGGUUAACGGCAUAUAGUAUUUAAACCUUGGGUUGGGUGUACUCCCCACCCAGAUCACCACCUAUACUUCCAGCAAACCCAGUGUUUCACCUCAACUCAUUUGCUUCUUGGACAUUGAGAUCUACAUUCAUCAACUAAUGGUUAUUGAUAUUUAGACAAAUACAUAUGUUCAAGAUGCUAGAAUAGUGAUUAUAUAGGAACUCCACCAAAAGGGAGGCAGCGUGAAAUAUAUUAUUUAAGGUGAGAACAGAAUUAUGAAAAAAAAAAAAACUAGAAAAAAAUCAAUACUAGUAAUGUGACAGCAAGGAGCUGUGAGUGAGGUACUAUCAGUAAUGCAACAGUAGGGAGCUCUGAGCAAGGCAGGAGUUGUGAUCAUGACAGCUGAGGAGAGUUUGAGUUGUCGCCAAUGGACUAAAGGGUGAGAGUUUGAGUUGUAACGAUGGAAUGGUGAUCAUAUGGAAUGUUUCUUGGAUGAAGAUAUGGAUAAUUUCAUCACCUAACCGACAAAGGAUAAAUUUCAAAAUGAAUUGGCCAACCCGACCCAAUCCAGUGAAUCAACCUGAAAUGUCUAUUUGGGUCGGAUCAGAUCGGUUGAUUUGAACCAAAUUUUGAACAGCAUUGGCAUGCUUUGGUUUUGCCUGUUUUGCUUCAAGUCGUCGUGGACUUCAAUGUAGUUGGACAUCAACUGAACAUCAAGACAUAGAUAUAUGUUUGUAGCCACCUGUCAUUAAGACUUAUUUUAGGUUUAAGACUAGAUUAAUUCAGGUCAGAAUUGGAGAGAGGGAGUGCAUUCAUUCAAUUCACAAAAGCUUUAUCUGCAUUUGCUCUUGCACUAAUGCUUUGGGUGAUUGGUAGUUCACUUUCAGAGAAACAAAAUUGUGUAUGCGUUUGGAUUUAGGCUUCCAUUAUAUGUGACCUAAAAAGUUGAAAAUUAUUGGAUGGCAUUGGCAGUAGAUUGAGCCAAUUAAAAUAAAAGGUGACAGGUUAUAUCUUUAAUGGCUAUGCAAACAAAAGCAAUAUGAUGAUAUGGCCUCCCAACUUGUUUACAUGUCUUCUUAGUGGCUUAAUUAAUGGAAGAUCAGUAGGCUGGGUCAAUUAAUCAUACAAUUUCUACAAAAAUAUUUUGGGUGAAUUUUUCUUUUGUUAUAAACAGUAAUGAGAUUCAGAUGUUUGUUUUCUUUUUGCGAUGAUUUCAUAAAUGUAUCAUACGAUUUAGCACUUUAUCACUAAAGGAACAAAAGUUUGAUGUUCAUCAAAAUGGCACUGUGAACUUUCACUAUGUUACAUUGUCCCUGAAUUCGUUAACGGGCCAGCUCUCUGUUAACAGAUUCAGGUACAAUGUAACGGCACAAAAGCUCAGGGUACCAUUUUGAUAAAAAUCAAACUUUUUUCCUUUAAGUGAUAGAAUGCUAAACCGCAGGAUAUAUUUGUGAAAUUAUCCCUCUAUUUUUUCAUUUUCCUUGAAAAUUGAUUGCAGGAUAUGUCACCCUUUUUGCACCCCAGUUCUUUCAUUUUUCCGUGUUUCAUCCAAUAUGUAGAAAGAGGGAUCAUCGUAACCCUUUGUGGGUUUGUCAGAAGUUAAUCUUGUCUGAGCUUUUCAUAGUAUUGUAUUGUUUUCACCUAAAUUCUUAUUGUACCUGAUCUAUAUUUUGAAAAUGUCAUCUAUUCUUGAGAAAGCAUAUUUUUCACUGUCAAAUGGAGGUUGAUGUUUGGAUAAUUAUUUAGAGUCCUUUAUUGCUUAAUUACUGAAUCAUAUAGGUUUCUGCUGGAGAUGAUUGUGCAUUGGAGUGUAUUAAUGUGUUUGAAAUGCAUGCACUAUCUGAAAGCAAGAUGGGCUUUCUCUUUUCAUUUUGAUAGUGAAAUUGAAAAUUUGAAAUGCUUACAAAUUUUUAGCAGCAGAAAAAAUUUGUUUCUUUUUGCAGUUUCCAUAUUUCCUUAAUUUGGCUUUUUAAUGCAUCAGUUGCAACACCAGAUGCUUAUAAAGUAUUGUUAUUCUAAUUAAGUUUGUUUCCUGAGCAUGAGUCAUUCUUGAUUCUAGUAGCUGACUUGAUUAAAUACUAUAUUUGCUAGUUUACUGUUUUUGGCCUUGUCAGAUUCCAAAAAUUUUAGCUAGUCUUUAUUUUGUUGGCAAAAUUUUACAUUGGCUUCAGACACUGGAAUAAUUCUGGGACUACAUAAGAAGUACAUCCUUUGACAUCUCUAACUAAUAAUUUCUUGUGUUCCAUGAGCAUAUUUUCUUUAAAUUAUAUGGCAGCAGUCUUUUUGUUGUUAAUUUUGUAUGUCUUUCAAGUAACAGCCUUAGUUCCUAGAAUGAGGGGAAACAUUGACUCAUUAUCUUGGUUUGUUGUUCAUAUAAAUGUUCAUUUUAGCAUAUUUCAUUUGGCUUUAGAGUAGCGUAGACAUUUGGUCUUGGUUGAUUAUUUAUAUUACAGUUUCUUUGAUAUUGUGGAUCCUCCCAUCAUGGAGAAGUGAUUCUCAGUUGUAUUUUAAUAUUGUACGUGUUAAACUUGUGAAUUAUGUUGACAUAUUGGCUAUAUGCACUGACAGAAUAUGCAAGAUGAAGAUGCAGGCAGGCCAUACAGGAAGUUCCUUUGACUUUUCUUCUUUACAAUGCUGGACAGUCGAUGAUAAUUGCACCUGAAGUAAAACUGGUUUUCUGUUGGGACCUCUUUACCCAUAUCUGGGAAUUGUUUUUUAUGUAUAUAUAUAUGUGUGUGUGU
rnacentral:misc_RNA from 1 species